rnacentral:rRNA from 1 species
CAAGGCAACGAUGCAUAGCCGACCUGAGAGGGUGAUCGGCCACACUGGAACUGAGACACGGUCCAGACUCCUACGGGAGGCAGCAGUAGGGAAUCUUCCGCAAUGGGCGAAAGCCUGACGGAGCAACGCCGCGUGAGUGAUGAAGGUCUUCGGAUCGUAAAACUCUGUUAUUAGGGAAGAACAUAUGUGUAAGUAACUGUGCACAUCUUGACGGUACCUAAUCAGAAAGCCACGGCUAACUACGUGCCAGCAGCCGCGGUAAUACGUAGGUGGCAAGCGUUAU